GAUAAAAGGUCAAUUAAUGGUGCUUUUUAGCUAAGAGGGAAGCAGGUUAAAUACCUGCACUGUACCCGCAACUGUAAUUAGGGAGCGAGAAAUCUAAAAGCCACUGGUUUAUUACUGGUAAGGCGAUUUCAAGUGAUGAUCUAUUAGUCAGGAAACCUGCCAUUAUGUCGUUCGUUCA
rnacentral:ncRNA from 2 species